rnacentral:rRNA from 1 species
UACGGUCUCAGUUCAGAUUGCAGGCUGCAACUCGCCUGCAUGAAGUUGGAAUUGCUAGUAAUCGCGAAUCAGAAUGUCGCGGUGAAUACGUUCCCGGGUCUUGUACACACCGCCCGUCACACCAUGAGAGUUGGAAAUACCCGAAGCCUGUGAGCUAACAGUAAUGAGGCAGCAGUCGAAGGUAGAGCCAAUGAUUGGGGUGAAGUCGUAACAAGGUAUC